AAAGACAGAGACAAGGAAAAACGAAAGGAGGAAAAGGUUAGAGCCUCUGGGGAUGCAAAAAUAAAAAAGGAGAAGGAAAAUGGCUUCUCUAGUUGUCUAAGAGAAUCAUCUUUUUGUAUUCCGAAGGCAAAAAGUCUUAACAAAAAUAGGGCAAGGCACUCUCCUGUGUAUAAAUCCACCACGAAUUAAAGAUGAACCUGAAGAUGAUGGCUAUUUUGCUCCUCCUAAAGAGGAUAUAAAGCCAUUAAAG